rnacentral:rRNA from 1 species
CCUACGGGUGGCAGCAGUGGGGAAUAUUGGGCAAUGGGCGCAAGCCUGACCCAGCAACGCCGCGUGAAGGAAGAAGGCUUUCGGGUUGUAAACUUCUUUUCUCAGGGACGAAGCAAGUGACGGUACCUGAGGAAUAAGCCACGGCUAACUACGUGCCAGCAGCCGCGGUAAUACGUAGGUGGCAAGCGUUAUCCGGAUUUACUGGGUGUAAAGGGCGUGUAGGCGGGAAAGCAAGUCAGAUGUGAAAACCAUGGGCUCAACCUGUGGCCUGCAGUUGAAACUGUUUUUCUUGAGUACUGGAGAGGCAGACGGAAUUCCUAGUGUAGCGGUGAAAUGCGUAGAGAUUAGGAGGAACACCAGUGGCGAAGGCGGUCUGCUGGACAGCAACUGACGCUGAGGCGCGAAAGCGUGGGGAGCAAACAGGAUUAGAUACCCGGGUAGUC